GUUGCAGUGAUGAAAACACAGCACAGCUGGCUGAGUCACAAGGCUAUAAGAGGGACACGGGAGCAUCACCUAGGGCUUUGUCCCCACUCUUGGGGUUGACUGCACAUGGUGUUGUCUUCCAGCACAGCUCCCAGUGAAAUCAGCUGGAUUUCUACUACAUUCAACGCUCAUAAAAGCAGCUGAGUCAGACCGGAUACGCCAGAUCAUGAUUGCUUCAUCUGUCACUGGGAUAUCAUGAAAUACCACAUUAGUGCUGCACAAUGCAUGCUAACCCACUUCCAGAUGGUGCACGAUGGUCAGAGGAUAAUGGUUUGAGCUCUCUUUGGCUGGCCUUGGUGAUGCUCCUGCACUCACGUGGCAAAUCUGCAAUUUGUUUCUUCAUGGAAGAGCUGCAGUGAAAAAGGAGACCAAGGCAGGCUGCCAGCCCAAGGAGAUGCCAGCAUGGCCAGAACUCAGUUGCCAACUGAGUGUAAGUGAUCCCAGCUGCAAAAUACACUGGAAAUCUCCUAUGGCACCAAAUGCUCAACAAACAACAAGGCUGGGUUCAGAAAUGCUGUACAGGGCUAAAGGGACCAAGAGGGAGCCCUCAGGGAUGAUGUACUUUGGCCUCAAAGUACAUUGUGAUCAUGCAGGCUGUUAAAUCUUCAUUUUAAAGUAGCUCCCAGAGAUAGAAAAUUCCAUUUCCUCUUUGAAAUAUUUUCUUUGCUACCAGUAAGAUGGAGCCAGACUAGUUAGAUUUUCCUGUUGACAGUCUGUGCCUUUUCCUGCAUUGCUUAAAGCACAAAUACUUCAUCUUAAAUGUUUGCUCCUAAAAAUGGUGCGUGUCUAUACAAGUGGAAAGCAGGUGACUAAAUGUUCUAGGACAUGUGGCAUGGUGACAGUGUAAACCAGACGCCGUAAUCCCCAAUUUGCUUAUCCUCAUGGGUAUUUAAUAUAAGCAAUUUGAGAUCCUGAAAUGUGCCAGCUGUAAGCAUGAGUCCCUUACGGCUCUAAAAUGCGGAUUUAUGAUGCUUUUGUGUUUUCUUCCUGUAUUAUACCACCCAGGUGUAUAAAUGCUGUCCUUGCUGGCUGCUCUUUCAGUAUGCUGAUAUUGUUAACCUGUUUGCUCUUUGGCUGAAGAUAAACCACAGCAGACAAAUAUGAUUAUACGUAUGUGUUUGGAUUCCUGAGCACGUGAAAUUGCUGAUAAAUUGCAGCCAGCCUGCACAGAGGCACAGCUACAGCACAGCACAGCACAUCCAUUUCACAGCUUGAGGAUACCAAAAUCCUGCCUCCCACAGGGAAGAGACCAAAACCAUCCUGCAGCUCUGCACCUCUCAAACCUUCUGGAGAAAUCAGGGGUCAAAACUGCACGUUGAGAAAACAUCUUGGUUAGAAAAGGAGAAAUAAAAUGGUGCUAAAAACAU